rnacentral:rRNA from 1 species
AGUGAACGCUGGCGGUAGGCCUAACACAUGCAAGUCGAACGGCAGCACAGUAAGAGCUUGCUCUUACGGGUGGCGAGUGGCGGACGGGUGAGGAAUACAUCGGAAUCUACUUUUUCGUGGGGGAUAACGUAGGGAAACUUACGCUAAUACCGCAUACGACCUACGGGUGAAAGCAGGGGAUCUUCGGACCUUGCGCGAUUGAAUGAGCCGAUGUCGGAUUAGCUAGUUGGCGGGGUAAAGGCCCACCAAGGCGACGAUCCGUAGCUGGUCUGAGAGGAUGAGCAUCCACACUGGAACUGAGAGACGGUCCAGACUCCGACGUGAGGCAACAGGGGGGAAGAGUGGACAAGGGGCGCAGGUCUUAUCCAGCCAUACCGCGUGGGUGAAAAAAGCCUGCGGGUUUGAAAGCCCGUUGGUUGAGAAAAAAAAGCAACAGGCGAAUACCCCGCUGGUCGCACGUUACGCAAAGAAUAAGCACGGGCUAGCCUGGAG